CACCGCUUCAACAACUACUACUUUCAAUUCUGUUUCUACCAUUUCUUCUGGAAGUGGAACUGGAAGCAGCAGUAAUAUAUCUUCCUCCAUAAGUAGAAGCAACUUCUCCUCAGUCUCUGAUUAUUCAAUUGGUGGCCAGAUCUUACCUACUUCUAAUUUGAGGAUAUUUACUUUUGCUGAAUUAAAGGCUGCUACCAAAAAUUUCAAACCUGAUACACUUCUUGGUGAGGGAGGUUUUGGUAAAGUCUACAAGGGAUGGCUUGAUUCCAAGAAUAGUAGUGGAACUGCCGUUGCCGUCAAAAAAUUGAACUCUGAAGGCUACCAGGGACUCGAGGAGUGGCAGGUACGUACGUAAUUGGAUCAUCCUAUAUAUAAUAUUCAAUCAUAGACACAGAUUAAUUAAUUUGGUGAUUGAUUUCUGUUUGUGUUUUGUGCAGUCAGAAAUAAAUUUUCUAGGACGGCUUUAUCAUCCUAACCUUGUUAAGCUGUUGGGAUAUUGUUACGAGGAAACAGAACUUCUUCUUGUCUAUGAAUACAUGCAGAAGGGCAGUUUGGAACAUCAUCUUUUUGGAAGGGGUGCUUCUGUUCAGCCACUUCCCUGGGAUCUUAGGCUUAAGAUAGCAAUUGGAGCGGCCGCUGGCCUUUCCUUCUUGCAUACAUCCGAUCGAGAAAUUAUUUAUCGAGACUUUAAGGCCUCUAAUAUAUUACUUGAUGGGGUCAGUUCACUUCACUUCAAUUCUAUUCGGUUUUAUUUACAAAUCUUCAUACUUUAUUUAUAGUAUUGAUUAGUUGGCCUCAAUUUUAAUUAAAUUAUGGUGCUGCUGCAGUCCUAUAAUGCAAAGAUAUCAGAUUUUGGACUUGCUAAGCUGGGUCCUUCAGCAAGUCAAUCCCAUUUGUCAACAACUGUAAUGGGCACACCUGGUUAUGCAGCUCCUGAAUAUAUGCAAACAGGUAAGUAAAUAAGUAAUUCAUUGCUUUUUAGUGCCCAAAUAAAAUGAAUUUCAUUGUUGAAGUAGCUACUAGCUACUACUACUAAUUGAAAUUGACAUAUACUAUAUGAUAUGCAGGGCAUCUAUAUGUAAAGAGUGACGUGUAUGGGUUUGGAGUUGUUUUGGUUGAGAUACUGUCAGGCCAACGAGCCAUUGAUACCAACCGUCCAACCGGGUAUCACAGUCUAACGGACUGGGUCAAACCAUUCCUACAUGAUAAAAGAAAAUUGAAGAAGAUUAUGGAUCCUCAUUUGGGAGAUAAAUAUCCAAGCAAAGCUGCAUUUCCUAUAGCUAAGCUUGCUUCAAAAUGUCUUGCACCCGAGCCCAAAAUGCGCCCGUCCAUGAAGGAUGUUUUGGAGAUCUUGCAAGGAAUUCAAGCUUCCACAAACAAAAACGUGGAGGUUAGGGGUGAUCAUUAAUUAAUUCAUUAUUAAUCCUAUUUAUAUGUGAAUUAAUUAAUGGACCUGUAUGAUUAAAAGGCUAUUGGUUGUUCAUUUUGUAUUUUCCUUGAACUCAAGUAGCUAGCUAGGUGUAUUUCUGUGGUGGCUUCAGUGAGUUGUGGAUUUGAUAUACAUGCCUCUAGUUAGUUCAUCAACAUGUUGUAUUGUAUCGUGUACCUAUAGUUCUAUAUUAGAAAUCCCAAAUAUUCAUUAUGGAUCUUGAUCAAACUCAUGGAUUAUUCUUGUAUUGUCACAAAACCAUAUAUAAAUCUCUUAGACACACUCACAAAAUAUAAACUCUACAUUUUGUUUUGAGGAGUGCUAUAUAGUGCGAAAAUCCUCUCCCGAAAUGAUCACGAAAAUGUACGCGUAUGUCAAAUUCAGCUCAUUUGUUAAUUUAAGGCAAAGCUCUUUUUUGGUUUUAAUUAAAACAAUAAUUAAUAAUACAGCAGUGUAUUGUGGAUCCACCGCUUGGGGAUUUUUUGUAACUAAUUAACCAGUUAUCCAUACUUCACUUCAAUUCAACCAAUAGCUUAUAAAAAAUUCAACACAUGCUAUGCUACUACUUCAUCCAAGAUCUGCUAUACAAUUUGCCACUUUCACAUUUAGUCAUGCGUUACUUUUUAGAACCACCUGUUUUGAUGAUAAAUUAUUGGAAUAAUAAAGAGAGGUUUUGUGAUAAGACGGUGAGAAACUAACAAAUGAAGAGAAAUAGAGCACUGCUAUUUGCAGCGAAAGAAAAUAUCACGAAUGGUUUCACGAAGUAUUGCCAUCAUUGGAUUUUGUUUGGUGGAAAACAUGAACGGUGGGAUGAAAAGAAGGGAGUAUGAGACAGUUUCAACAUACUGCUUACAAGUUGUCGUGAUGCAUUCGUGGGCAAAUUUGUCGCUAUAAGUAGCAUUAUAAGUCAUAUAAGGCGCACAACUCAUUCGGGAUGUGUUCGGGAAUUUUUACUCGUGACAUAUAGCAUUUUCCUUUUGUUUUUUUGAGUUUGUGAGUGUGCGUAAGCCUAAGACUUAUGACUAUGGAAGACUUUCUCCAAACUUAUAUAAGGAUUGUGACUCUCUCUUGAUGCACAAUAUAUUACAGAUAACAAUUAUCAAUAAAUCUCUUACAGGCCUAAUCUGUUAGCAGGUCUCUAACACACAUCAACACUUUACUUUGACCUAAUGUGAUAUACGAUUAGAAAAAUGGGGCAGCACGGAUCAUACUCCAAUACUAUUGUUCAAAGGGAUUAUAAACAUUCACCAUUUUAUUGAUCAUUAUUAUGAUCACCACAACCUUCAAAAAGGCACAGAGAAUAUAGUUGAUCAGUAAAAUCCAAAUGAACAAUUUGACCAUGAUUUGGAAAACUAGUGUGCAAAUCUUAAAAGCCAUACCUUUGGGUUUCUUGUGCUGCAUAUUGAUUACGGGGUGAGUUAUCUUCACCAGAAGUCUUUCGAAUGUCAGAAUCUACAAAGUCCCUAUGCGGACUUCCGAUAGUACUGCUUGCAAAUGGACUAUUAGGAGCACUUUUUGCAGAUCCAUUGUCACUUUUAUUAGAAACAGAUCCAUUGCCUACUCUUUUGUCCCUCCCUUACUAGUAGUAGUAUUAGUAGUAGUAAUUCACUAUGUAUGGUAGUACAUCGUACAAAUACUAUACACGCAUGCAUACGCAUAUAUCGAGCAAAUAAUUAGUGGAAGAAGAGGAAAAGCUAUCUUUCAUUCAUUAUUGAACUGGACAAGAAAGAAAAAGCAGCAAAAGUAAUAUAUUAUUAUUAAUUAAAAAAUAAAAAAAAAGAUAAGAGCAAGAAUAAAAAGCACGUAACAAGAAGAAAAGAAAGAAGAAAUAAUGGUUUGAUUGAUUGGAGAGCAAAAGUGGAACUUGUUGAAAUUCAAACAAAUACACCACCCUGCUGCUCUAAUUAACCUCUUCUUCUUCUUCUUAUUGUUGCAAUUAUACAAUUCAAUGGGGAUUUGCUGGAGUUAUCCACCUAAAGAUCCAACUCCAACUGGAACUGGUAACAAUUCAACAACUUGUUCAUUGUACUCAAACAUUCAUAAUUUGAUUAUUAAUUAAUCUCCUUAUUAUUUAUUCUACUAUGUGUAUGUAGUUACACCUGCAGGGAUAUCUCAUUCUCAGACCACAAGUGGAAGCUAUGGUAUUAGUACCACCACCACCACUGCUUCAACAACUACUACUUUCAAUUCUGUUUCUACCACUUCUUCUGGAAAUGGAAGCAGCAGUAAUAUAUCUUCCUCCAUAAGUAGAAGCAACUUCUCCUCAGUUUCUGAUUAUUCAAUUGGUGGCCAGAUCUUACCUACUUCUAAUUUGAGGAUCUUUACUUUUGCUGAAUUAAAGGCUGCUACCAAGAAUUUCAAACCUGAUACACUUCUUGGUGAAGGAGGUUUUGGUAAAGUUUACAAGGGAUGGCUUGAUUCCAAGAAUAGUAGUGGAACUACUGUUGCCGUCAAAAAAUUGAACUCCGAAAGCUACCAAGGACUCGAGGAGUGGAAGGUACGUAAAUGGAUCACCCUAUUCAAUCAUAGACACAGAUUAAUUAAUUUGGUGAUUGAUUAAUGGUUAAUUGGUUUGUAUAUGUGUUUUGUGCAGUCAGAAAUAAAUUUUCUAGGACGGCUUUAUCAUCCUAACCUUGUUAAGCUGUUGGGAUAUUGUUACGAGGAAUCAGAACUUCUUCUUGUCUAUGAAUACUUGCAGAGGGGCAGUUUGGAACAUCAUCUCUUUGGAAGGGGUGCUUCUGUUCACCCACUUCCCUGGGAUCUCAGGCUUAA
rnacentral:lncRNA from 1 species